rnacentral:rRNA from 1 species
GACAGAGGUGCCGAGCGUUAGGCGGAAUCACUGGGCUUAAAGCGUGUGUAGGCGGGUCGUUAAGUACCUUGUGAAAUCCCAUGGCUCAACCAUGGAACGGCUGGGUAUACUGGCGAUCUUGAGCGAUCUAGGGGCAGAUGGAACAAGUGGUGGAGCGGUGAAAUGCGUAGAUAUCACUUGGAACGCCAAAGGUGAAGACAGUCUGCUGGGGAUCUGCUGACGCUGAGACACGAAAGCCAGGGGAGCGAACGG